GUGAGCUUGCGCUACUGUUCAUAGUGUUGUUUCUCUCGACGGCGCGAACGCGGCUCCUCUCUACUCCUAGAUCUGCAGAUCAGCUUGUCUUCAUCAGCGUGGAGGUUUUCAACUUCUGACGGCCAAUUCCUGAGCACCGUUCGUCUUCGUCGAGUGAGUUUGGCUGGCGGAUCACUGUAGCUGCAGAGUGUGUUUCUUUCAUCAGUCCAGCAGUGUUCCUCUGGCUCUCCAUCCUUCGUAGCCCUUCGCCUAGCUCGUGAUUCCAGCGCUAAUGAAUCCUGUGUGCAACAGUGAGAAACUUGAACUCGCUGAAGAUUAGUGAGCAGAUUCAGGUGAAUCUGAGUUCGUCCACAAGUUCGAGAUCACCAUUCUGACUUCUGUUGGAGCGGUCUCUGCAGAUCCUUGUGUGACGGCAAGGAGAAGACAAUUUUGAUUUAAGAUUUGGUUGUAGGGAUGUUGAUGUUAGGUUUCUUGUAGUUUGAUUCUUAGCAUAGAGCUUCUUGAUUCUGCACUUUUGUUUUUGAAAUUUGCUAGUCCAUAGCUUAGAUUUGUUUGUAGUCUCAUUUUCUGCAUGAAUCUGUUCUUUUAGUUCUAUUACCUUGUGUUCUGUUUUCUGCUUUGUCUGUUCAGCAGUUCUGUUGCAAACUUUGUGUCUUAAUUUCGUUGAGAAAUUCCUGUAUCAGUGAUCUUUUAGCUGAUAAUUUAGUUAGUUUAAUAGAUUAAUUAA